GACGAACGCUGGCGGCGUGCUUAACACAUGCAAGUCGAACGGAAAGGCCCUGCUUUUGUGGGGUGCUCGAGUGGCGAACGGGUGAGUAACACGUGAGUAACCUGCCCUUGACUUUGGGAUAACUUCAGGAAACUGGGGCUAAUACCGGAUAGGAGCUCCUGCUGCAUGGUGGGGGUUGGAAAGUUUUGGCGGUUGGGGAUGGACUCGCGGCUUAUCAGCUUGUUGGUGGGGUAGAGGCUUACCAAGGCUUUGACGGGUAGCCGGCCUGAGAGGGUGACCGGCCACAUUGGGACUGAGAUACGGCCCAGACUCCUACGGGAGGCAGCAGUGGGGAAUAUUGCACAAUGGGCGGAAGCCUGAUGCAGCAACGCCGCGUGCGGGAUGACGGCCUUCGGGUUGUAAACCGCUUUCGCCUGUGACGAAGCGUGAGUGACGGUAAUGGGUAAAGAAGCACCGGCUAACUACGUG
rnacentral:rRNA from 1 species